GCUCAGUUGCUGUCCACAACAACCCUACGAGACAACUACUAUUGCUGUCCUCACUUUGUAGAAGUCGAAGAAAAGGUAAGCCUCACGCCUGGGAGCCAUGUGCUGUGGAACAGAGGUAGCCCUUCAGGGAUCUUGAGAAAGUCAGCCUCCAGGGAAACAGAAGGAAACUUGGGACAUGCUCUGAACCUCCCCUGGGCCUGGAGACCUCAGCUAUGCAUCACUGAUCAUGUUUCCUUCUUGGCUUUCAUUGUCAGGAAACUCAGAGUCAAACUGGAGAUCCCUUAUAAUAAACAUUUAGGAACUUACGCAGAGUUACUCCCCAUGCCUUAUCCUGCUCUUUGGCCUUUAUUUUCUCUUGCUCCUCUCCUGUGGACUUUCUUGUCUUUGUCUACCCAGCAUCCCUUCCUUUGAAGCAUUUUACGCCAGUCCGCAUAGUCCCUACAGAUCUGCCAAUCCUAGCGCCCAGCCCCAUCUCCUACCCUUAUCAUGGCGUGGGCACCUGACUCAGGCUGCCCGAAGUGCCCCACCCACAUGGCCACAGGGAUGGUCAUAUAACUCCAGAUGGGCCAAUCGGAGAAUUGCCUGGGAUUGAUAUGGGGAGAGAGAUGUUCUCUUAGCUAUUUGCUAAUUUGAAAGGGGAUGAAUCGGAGGCUUCCAGGAGCUAUCUUUCCCAUCAUAUGGACAUAGCUUCAUUUAGCAGGAGGCCAAGUAGAGGCAAGAAGAGCUGAGAGAUAGAAGAAGAGACAGUAUCAUUUGAGCCCCAAGAUCUGGCUAUACAUACAGCCAGAACCACUUCUGGAUCUACCUGUAAUUGGAGCUAAUAGAUGCUCUUUUCCCACCAUGCAACUGGAAGCAGGCUGGAGGUAGAGGUCAGAUUAACUCUACUUCCCAUUUCAAGCCCAGAAGAGAGCCCUCAAUUCGAUGACAAGGCAAAAUGGGCAGAGCUUAUCUCUGAGUCAGAAACUGCAAGGGUAAGCCCAGUUCAAGGAUAAAGACCAGGAAUAGACUUCUGGAGUCAGUUUACUAGCUAACAGAGUUGGUAAACUCAAAUAGAACAGCCACCCACCAGGACUGUGGGAAAAUUAUAUUUCCAGAAAAUUCCAAGCUUGAUAAACAGUGGUCUGUGAUUGCUCAAACCCCAGGGCAAGUCCCAAGCCCUGCAAUUAUGCUGACAGGAAGUGGCCGCUAAAGUUGCCCCCAGAUGCAGAGUCUUCCGCUAUACCCUACUCGGAAGUGGCCAUGGAAACCUCUAGACAAGAGGUGUUUUCGCAGUUAGUCGGAAGGGGGGCAGUUGGGCUGACUGACCCAGAGGCUGACUGCACUGCCAGGGGCCGGCCAUGUUACUGCCCGACAGAGUGUGGAGUGUACUAGGAGCUGCUCGGCAUGGAUUCCCCUUCACCGCUUGCCAAAUGGAAGACUUAUUGCAGUGUUUCUGUUGUCCCUUUGUCAUUGGGUCCUGGGUACACUGGGAGUGGUGAUGAGGGAGGUUAGACUUAUCUUUUAGCUAUAGGCUACCAAAUCCAUGAAAGAUUACCCAGAAAUCCUCAGCUUGGGAUUGGAUGUGGCAACUAGACAUGAUUUUGGUUUUUAGUUUUGUUUCAAUAGUCAUUGUAUUAUGCUAGGUAGGGGUGUUUAUAGAAUUGUAUUUACGGGAAGAAGGAUGAUUUUGUUUGUCAAGCUUCCUUCAAUCUCUUUUCUGACCCCAUGUGGUCUUGGAGGGUCUAGGAGUCAAGAAGUUCCACUCCUAUUUCCAUCUCCACAGAGGUAGAGUUACCAGGCUGGCCAAUCAGAGGACGCCAUCUCUCCAUCCAUAGUGAUUGGUUAAAUUGUGGACAUGUGACCUAAGCAAGGCCAAUCAUGAUUGGCAUAUGAGCAUUAGCUAAGAGAGGUCCUCUUUACCCAGGGAAUGCUGAAGUAAACGCAGCUUCAAAUUCAGCAUUAGAUCUUCUCUUCUUGAAGGUCCUUCAGUCAUUGUACUGUCAGAGAUUUUUCACUAGCUGCUUCAUCUCAUAAAGUUUGGAGCCUCAGUCAGUUUCCCCUUGACCCAUGGCAUGAGUUAUUUAGAUGAUAUGUUUUAAUUUCCAAAUCUGUAUAUUUUUUGUUGUUGCUGAUUAACUUCAUUGUUUUUGUUAGAGAAUGUGAUCUGUAUAAAUCUGUAUGUUCAAUUCUUUGAACUUUAUUUAGACUUACUGUAUGUACUAGUAUGUGGCCAAUUUUUGUAAAACAUAUCUUGGGUGCUUGAAAAGAAUGCUUUCCUAAAUUGAUUAGCGUAGAGUUCUAGGUAAGUCAAACAUUGUUUGUGCUGUUCAAAUCAUCAAUAUUCCUACUGAUUUUUAUUUUAUUUUAUUUUAUUUUUGUUUUUUAGUGAGGAAGAUUGGCCCUGACCUAACGUCUGUGCCAAUUUGUGCCAUUUUGUAUUUGGGAUGCUGCCACAACAUGGCUUGACAAGUGGUGCAUAGGUCUGCGCCCAGGAUUCAAACCCCCAAACCCCAGGUCGCUGAAGUGGAACAUGCAAACUUAACCUCUAUGCCACUUGGCUGGUCCCAGUUUUAUUUUUUAUCCACUUGAUCUGUACAUUACAGAAAAAUAUAUUAAAAUCUCCUAGUAUGAUGAUGGGUAAGUCAAUUUCUCUUUGUUAUUCUGAUUUUUGCUCUAUUUUUUGUGGGGGGGGGGGUUAAGUUAACAGCUAAAUUGAGCAGAAGGUAUAGAGAUUUCCCAUAUACCCACUGCUCCCAUACCUGGAUAGCCUCCCCCACUAUCAACAUCCCCCACCAGGUGGUACAUUUGCUACAAUUGAUGAGUUUACAUUGACACAUCAUAAUCACUCAAAGUCCAUAGUUUAUAUUAGCUCACUCUUGGUGUUGUAGAUUCUAUGGGUUUGGGCAAAUGUAUAAUGACAUGUAUCCACCAUCAUAGUAUCACACAGAGUAGUUUCAUUGUCCUAAAAAUCCUCUAUGCCCUAUCUGUUCGUUCUUCCAGCACCCUUAAUCCCUGGCAACCAGUGAUCUUUUUACUGUCCCCAUAGUUUUACCUUUCCCAGAAUGUAAUAUAGUUGGAAUCAUACAGUAUGUAGCCUUGCAGAUUUGUCUUUCACUUAGUAAUAUGCUUCUCAAGUUCCUUCAUGUCUUUUCAUAGGUUGAUAGCUUAUUUCCUUUUUAGCGCUGCAUAAUAUUCCAUUGUCUGGAUGCACCACAGUUUAUUCAUCCAUUCACCCACUGAAGUACAUCUUGCUUGCUUCCAAGUUUUGGCAAUUAUAAAUAAAGCUGUUGUAAACAUAUUGGUACGGGUUUUU
rnacentral:lncRNA from 1 species